UACGUAGGCAGCAAGCGUUGUUCGGAGUUACUGGGCGUAAAGGGCGCGUAGGCGGCUUGGUCAGUCCCGUGUGAAAUCCCUCGGCUCAACUGAGGAACUGCACGGGAAACUGCCUGGCUUGAGUUCGGGAGAGGGAAGCGGAAUUCCGGGUGUAGCGGUGAAAUGCGUAGAAUAUCCGGAGGAACACCGGUGGCGAAGGCGGCUUCC
rnacentral:rRNA from 1 species